ACAGAGGUCUCAAGCGUUGUUCGGAAUCACUGGGCGUAAAGGGUGCGUAGGCCGCACGGUAAGUCAGAGGUGAAAUCCCGGAGCUCAACUUCGGAAUUGCCCCCGAUACUGCCGUGCUUGAGGACUGGAGAGGAGAUUGGAAUUCACAGUGGAGCAGUGAAAUGCGUAGAUAUUGUGAGGAACACUAGUGGCGAAGGCGGCUCUCUGGGACGGUACUGACGCUGAGACGCGAAAGCGUGGGGAGCGAACAGGA
rnacentral:rRNA from 1 species